AAAAUUAAGACUAAACAAAAUUAAGAGUUAAAUUUAAAAGUGAUUAAAAUUAAACAUAGCUUUACAUAAGUCAAAACAUUUUUUUCCUUUUAAAAUUGUUCCCCACUGUAUUCGCCAGUAUAUUCUUCAAGCUUCUUCCAAAGGUUAAUACAUCAAGACAAAGGUUUGUCAUGACUGAGGAGACUACAAGGAAUGCAGACAGGCUCUGAGCAGUACUAUAGAAAAGAAAGAUCAAUUAACAUGAGAGUCAGAAAACCAAGCUUCGUCUAUGCCUAUGACAGGCUGUGUGAUCAUAGGUCAAGAUCUUUUACCGUAUUUCCUGAGUAAAUGCCAAGC